rnacentral:tRNA from 1 species
GGUUGUAGCUCAGUGGUAGUGUGCUUGCCUUACAUGCAUGAGGCUCUGGAUUCGGUCCCAAGUACCA